GAUGAAGAACGUAGCGAAAUGCGAUACGUAAUGUGAAUUGUAGAAUUCAGUGAAUCAUCGAAUCUUUGAACGCACAUUGCGCUCUCUGGUAUUCCGGAGAGCAUGCUUGUUUGAGUAUCAGUAACACCUCAACUUCCAUAUCUUUUUUGAAAUGGGAGUUGGACUUGAGUGAUCCCAACGCUUUUCCUCACCGAAAAGUGGCGGGUUACUUGAAAUGCAGGUGCAGCUGGACUUUUCUCUGAGCUAUAAGCAUAUCUAUUUAGUCUGCCUAAAAAACAGAUUAUUACCUUUGCUGCAGCUAACAUAAAGGAGAUUAGUUCUUGUGCUGACUGAUGCAGGAUUCACAAAGACAGGCUUCGGCCGACUUUGUAAACUCGAUCUCAAAUCAAGUAAGACUACCCGCUGAACUUAAGCAUAUCAAUAAGCGGAGGA
rnacentral:misc_RNA from 1 species